GCCUGCCCUGCCCUGCCCUGGCUGGAUGGAAAGUAGCGGUUUCCUCCGAGCCGAGAGGGAGCAGGCGGAGUGAAAGUGCACACGUGGACAGUAGACACCUGAGACUGACAUGGACGUCAGCCAAUCAUAGCACGGACUGAUGACGCGAGCUCACCGCUGUAAUCCAAUGGGAUAGUUUAUUGGGGGGUAAAACCCUCAACUGUUGUUUAGAGUCGGGGAAAAAAGGUUGUGAAACGGGUCUGGUCUGGAGGCGGCUGGGAGUCAGAUUAGGAGGAGAUAGCUGAUGUUUACUGUAUACUUUGUGUCUCACCGAGGAACAGAGGAUAUCUCUCUUCUUUGGAAAAAUGAUUUGUUUAAUAAGAAAAUGAAGAUGCGUUGAUAUUUCUGGCUAAACAUACUUAUAUGUAGGCUAACAACUUUUCAUCUCCACUGACGAACAUACUUGGGGGCUCGGAGUCAUGGGAAGCUUCAAGGGCCACGCGCUCCCUGGAAGCUUCUUUCUGGUAGCUGGGAUCUGGUGGACAGGGAAGCACUCACUCUGGCACGCCACCCGCAGGAACAAGAAUAUAGGCUCCACUCGGCUGGCCAGCAGAGCCUCACAGCGCCGCCUGGAGAUCAUCGAAAGCUCUGUCGUACUCUUCUUCUCUUUUGUUGGGAUGCUGGCAGAGCAGUUUGCAGCAGGUGGGCCGAGACUCCAGCUGUAUGACUUUGCAGAGAAACACUGGGAAUAUCUGAUGAACUGGCAGCAUGCCACCAUGUAUCUGUUCUUUGGCCUGGCUGCUACUGUCAAUCUGAUUGUACACACCACAGAGGUUGCUCCAUUGGCACUGGAUAGGUUAAUGCUGGCUAUUGCUUUCUUUAAUGAAGGAUUUCUUUUCUUCUACCACCUCCAUGGCAGGAGUAUGCUGGACGUCCAUGUGCACCAGCUACUUCUCUUCGCCAUCUUUGGUGAGGCUGUCGUUGCCUUCCUGGAGGUCUUCCACCGAGGUAACAUCAUCCUGGAGCUGCUGCGCUGCACCCUCACUGUCCUGCAGGGAAGCUGGUUCUGGCAGAUUGGUUAUGUGCUGUACCCUCCUCACGGCCCUGAGUGGGACCUAAAUGAUCACAACAACAUGAUGUUCAUCACCAUGUGUUACUCCUGGCACCUCGCCUUCGCCAUGCUCAUCGUGAGCGCGCUCUAUUGCACCGUCAGCUGUGUGGUUCGCUCCAGAUUGAGGAGGACUCCUCCGAUGGAAAUGGGACUUCUGAAGCCGAGAGAUCCAGAGUCAGAAGAUGAGAUUCUGUGAAGAGGACUGUUGUACUCCUACAUAUCACACUUAAAUCAGGGAUAAUAAUAAAUCAACUGAUAUGAUGCAGUUCCAGCAGCAGUAUGACUAGAAGCAAAGUGUGCAGACAGAAGAGGGAUAAGGACAAAGUUUCUGGAUGUUUUACUUUAGAAAUAUAUCUCUACCGCUGCCUUAUUUAAUCAGCUGUAAACCCCUUUAGCCUUACUCUCAUUGUUUAUUGCUAGUUAUUUUACUGUGUUCUAAUACUUUUCAUAUACUCGGUCAUAUCAUUUUUGCCAAUUAUUAUUUUACACAUACAAUAUAAGUGAACGUGAACUCAUUAGGGUAAGCUUUUUUAUGGAUUGCAUGCUUUUCAUUUGAGUCGCCAACA